CACGUAGGGUGCGAGCGUUGUUCGGAUUUACUGGGCGUAAAGGGCGCGUAGGCGGUCGUGACAAGUCGCUUGUGAAAUCUCCGGGCUUAACUCGGAACGGUCAAGUGAUACUGUCGGACUAGAGUACAGAAGGGGCAACUGGAAUUCUCGGUGUAGCGGUGAAAUGCGUAGAUAUCGAGAGGAACACCUGCGGCGAAGGCGGGUUGCUGGGCUGAUACUGACGCUGAGGCGCGAAAGCCAGGGGAGCGAACGGG
rnacentral:rRNA from 1 species